rnacentral:rRNA from 1 species
GUGGGGAAUAUUGGACAAUGGGCGCAAGCCUGAUCCAGCCAUGCCGCGUGAGUGAUGAAGGCCUUAGGGUUGUAAAGCUCUUUCACCGGUGAAGAUAAUGACGGUAACCGGAGAAGAAGCCCCGGCUAACUUCGUGCCAGCAGCCGCGGUAAUACGAAGGGGGCUAGCGUUGUUCGGAAUUACUGGGCGUAAAGCGCACGUAGGCGGAUAUUUAAGUCAGGGGUGAAAUCCCAGAGCUCAACUCUGGAACUGCCUUUGAUACUGGGUAUCUCGAGUAUGGAAGAGGUAAGUGGAAUUCCGAGUGUAGAGGUGAAAUUCGUAGAUAUUCGGAGGAACACCAGUGGCGAAGGCGGCUUACUGGUCCAUUACUGACGCUGAGGUGCGAAAGCGUGGGGAGCAAACAGGAUUAGAAACCCGGGUAGUCC